CCUACGGGAGGCAGCAGUGAGGAAUAUUGGUCAAUGGACGCGAGUCUGAACCAGCCAAGUAGCGUGAAGGAUGACUGCCCUACGGGUUGUAAACUUCUUUUAUAGGGGAAUAAACUGUGCCACGUGCGCGAUUUUGUAUGUAACUUAUGAAUAAGGCUCCGCUAACUUCGUGCCAGCAGCCGCGGUAAUACGGAGGAUGCGAGCGUUAUCCGGAUUUAUUGGGUUUAAAGGGAGCGUAGGUGGGUUGUUAAGUCAGUUGUGAAAGUGUGCGGCUCAACCGGAAAAUUGCAGUUGAUACUGGCAGCCUUGAGUGCAGGAGAGGUAAGCGGAAUUCGUGGUGUAGCGGUGAAAUGCUUAGAUAUCACGAAGAACUCCGAUGGCGAAGGCAGCUUACUGGACUGUAACUGACACUGAGGCACGAAAGUGUGGGGAUCAAACAGGAUUAGAUACCCCAGUAGUC
rnacentral:rRNA from 1 species